GGAAGGGUGGCAGAGCGGACGAAUGCGGCAGUCUUGAAAACUGUUGAACUCGCAAGGGUUCCGUGGGUUCGAAUCCCACCCCUUCCG
rnacentral:tRNA from 1 species